rnacentral:rRNA from 1 species
CACUCCUACGGGAGGCAGCAGUGGGGAAUAUUGGACAAUGGGCGCAAGCCUGAUCCAGCCAUGCCGCGUGAGUGAUGAAGGCCCUAGGGUUGUAAAGCUCUUUCACCGGUGAAGAUAAUGACGGUAACCGGAGAAGAAGCCCCGGCUAACUUCGUGCCAGCAGCCGCGGUAAUACGAAGGGGGCUAGCGUUGUUCGGAUUUACUGGGCGUAAAGCGCACGUAGGCGGACUAUUAAGUCAGGGGUGAAAUCCCGGGGCUCAACCCCGGAACUGCCUUUGAUACUGGUAGUCUUGAGUUCGAGAGAGGUGAGUGGAAUUCCGAGUGUAGAGGUGAAAUUCGUAGAUAUUCGGAGGAACACCAGUGGCGAAGGCGGCUCACUGGCUCGAUACUGACGCUGAGGUGCGAAAGCGUGGGGAGCAAACAGGAUUAGAUACCCUAGUAGUCCC